ensembl:lncRNA
CUUGAGAGCCCUGCAGUAGGGGAGUUCUCAAGGCCUUCUCUCUGCAGAAAGGCUUGACAACUCUCUCUCCCCUCUCCUUCAGGCCUCACUCUGGCAGAAGACUGCUCAGGCCCAGGCAGGAUCUCUGUCCUUUGUCUUGCUUAACUGGCUUUGUUGUUCCAAGACUCCACGAAGUUGCUCCCCAGGGUCCCUCUCAGAGAGAAAACUCUUCCUGUUGACUCAUCCAAGGGAGCAGGGCAACUCAGAGCCCACUACUCAGAAUGGCCUGAAAUUUGGAGCCUGGAUCUUCUGUGGCCACUCCAUGAAAUCCCAUGAGGCUGGCAGCCUUGGGGGAGUAAUGUGACUUCAUGACCGUAAAUAAUCCCUUGCUGUUGCAGGCAGACUGUUUAGCUACCUCCAAAGGAGACAGACCCUCUGGCGCUUCUGCACCACAGGCACCGUCAUAACAGCAGUCUAGCUGGGGCUUCUUCCCAUGGCAGCUUGGCAGGAUUCCAAGAGGAAGGGGGAUGGAUGCAAGAGCUCCAUACCUAGGCUGGGAGCUGGAACUGCGUCACCUCUGCCAUAAUCCAUCAGCCAAAGCAAGUCACAUGGGACAAGUCAUCUGUCCUGACUCAGGGGAUGGUGAAAGGGUCUCCACUUGUGGAUGGGAGGAGCUGCAAUGUCAUAUUGCAAAGGGGCAUGCCUACGGGGAAGGGUGGAGAACUGUGUCCACUUUUGCAACAAAUGCAGUUGUUAGAUGUAAGAGGUAGGAUUUUAUCUUUCAAUUAUGAAAGUAGCAUAUGCACAUGAGAAAAAUUCAAACAGUACACAAACGGGAAAAUGAGGAAGAGAAAGUCUCCCAGGGAAAACAUGUUCUAAUCUAGUUCCACUCUCUACAUGUAAAUACCAUCAAGAGUUUCUUGUGUACCUUGAUACAAUUUUGUUGUGCAUACACAUAGAUGGGAGUCUAAUAUACACACUAUUCUGUAGUUUAUUCUUUUCACUUAACAGUACAGCUAAGAGUUCUUUCCAUAGCAGCACAACCAGAAAUGCUCCGUUACUUUUAAUGUCUACAAAGUAGUCAACUGAAUAAAUGUACCAUGUUUUAUUCAACCACAUUUCCCUCCUGGUGGACACUUAGGUCAUUUCCUUUUUCUGUUGUUAUAAAUAAUGCUGCAAUGAACAUCCUUGAAUAUCUUUCUUUGUAUACUUGUAGACUAGAUUCCUAGAAGUGAAAUUUCUAGGUUCAACGUCAGAUCUAAGCCUUGCUCUGUUCCCAGGACGUGCUCUUUCCAAGAUGGGUCUCUGGUUGCCAUCUCUUCUUCUGGCCUUUUCUACUACUAGAAGUUACCUUAGGAACCAUGGACCCCCAUGCAUAGUGCACAUAUGUGACACAUUCUCAUGACCUCUCUACACCCUUUCCUUCCUGGACAGGCUCAAGAGGUCUUGAGCUAUUCAUUAUUAAGCUCUUCCAAGAAGAUCCAGACUAAUUGUCUUUUCUGUGUCUUGCUUUAUGAAUUUCUUUGGGGACGUGUACUAUUUCACUACAGGUCAAUGAGGAAAGACUCAUAGUAAGAAAUGUUAACAUACAGAUGAUGGGUUGCUUCAAGUGGAGGCCUAAUGUACAAAUGAGUGAAGAUAUCACAAAUAGUGCAAAAAUAGACAAGUGGUAGAAGAAUUAGGUUGAAUCAUCACACAGAAAACAAUAGUAUAGGCCUGUUGUCACAAUGAAUUCCAUCCUUGUUCAUAGCAACUUUAACUGUUCAUGAAUAUCAAAUACAGUAGCACAUAUGCAGUGAAGAAAUUUCUCAGGAGCAUAUUUUUCCAUUCUUUAAUAUUGUUUUUGGGUUUCUUCAUGGAUCUUGAUGCCCACAUGCCACCUUCCUGGGUGCUGGCUGGAGCUCUGAGUUUUUACCAGGUAUGUAUGGACUUAGCUGUAUUAUGAACAGCAGGUUGGUGACUGUAGAGUCUGGAGGUGGCAUGCCAGCACACUCAGAUACCUCUAUUUCUCACAGCCCCUGAUUAUGGCCCUGUGUAGAUGGAGCCAAUAAUUCUGCGGAAGGGAACAAACAGCAGGGGCUCGUUUCUGUGAUGUGGGGAGUCUGCAUUUUACGGCUGCUCUGCAGACAGGUUAAAGAAGUGGACUUCCAGAGAAUGCAGUUUCAAAAACUCAAGGAAGAACGAUGUUUAUUCCCAUGGUACGCUGAACAGUGAAGAACUUAAAGGAUAAUCAUUGCCCAGUCACAUUAAUUUGUUCAUUUCUUCAUUCACUUCUUCCACAUUUAUUCACUGAGUAUCACAUUGUACCAAACCCCAUGCUGGGUGUUGGAGAUAUAAAGAUAAAUAAAACCCCAAAACAACCUCUCCUUGUAUCAGUUAGCUCUGGCUACAUAACAAACAUCCCCAAACAUCAUGGCUUAAAACAAAAACUAUGUAUUUAGUUUACAAUACUCUAGGUCAACAAUUUGGGCUGGGUUCUGCGGGCUAGUUCUACUGUCCUUGGCUGAGCUUACUCAGGGUUGAUGGCCAGCUGCUGGAUUGGUUCGGGCUGGCUGGUCUAGGGGGUUCUCAGCUGGGAUGGCUCAUCUCUGCUCCACACACUCUCAUCCUCCAGCGGGCUAGCCUGGACUUGUUCAUGUGGCGGCUAGGCAAUUCCAUGGGCACGAGCAGAAGCCUGCCAGGCCUCUUGAAGGUGAGGCUCUGGGUUGACAUAAUGUCCCUUUAGCCAUUACAUUGGUCAAAUCAAGUCACAAGCCCAGGCCAGUUCCAAGGAGGGGUGAAGACCUCUGACUGUCAUUGCUAAGGGACUUGGAAACAGGCAGGAAAUAAGGGCUAAUUUUUGCUAAUAGUCUAGCUCACUGCCGUUUAGGAGCUUACAGUCUGGUCAGAGAGACAGAAAAUUGUGAUAAGUGCUAUUAAGAAGCUGUC